GCUGGCGGCAGGCCUAACACAUGCAAGUCGAGCGAUAUAGCGGCGGACGGGUGAGGAACACGUGGGAACAUGCCUUUUGGUACGGGAUAGCCUUGGGAAACUGGGAUUAAUACCGUAUAAGCCCUUAGGGGGAAAGAAAUUCGCCAAGAGAUUGGCCCGCGUUAGAUUAGCUAGUUGGUGGGGAAAAGGCUUACCAAGGCAACGAUCUAUAGCUGGUUUGAGAGGACGACC
rnacentral:rRNA from 1 species